rnacentral:rRNA from 1 species
AUCUCUGUAGAGUCUGCAUAUCAAUAAGCGGAGGAAAAGAAACUAACUAGGAUUCCCUCAGUAACGGCGAGUGAAGCGGGAAGAGCUCAAAUUUGAAAUCUUAAAGGUUUCCCUUGACGAAUUGUAGUUUAAAGAAGUGUUUUCUGUUGGAGGUUUUGGUAAAAGUUCUUUGGAAUAGGACAUCAUAGAGGGUGAGAAUCCCGUAUUUGACCAUUUACUUUCAGCUUUGUGAUACACUUUCAAAGAGUCGGAUUGUUUGGGAAUGCAGUCCAAAAUGGGUGGUAAAUUUCAUCUAAAGCUAAAUAUUGGCGAGAGACCGAUAGCGAACAAGUACCGUGAGGGAAAGAUGAAAAGAACUUUGAAAAGAGAGUUAAACAGUACGUGAAAUUGUCAAAAGAGAAGCGUUUGACACCAGUGUUGUUUUUCUGAAAAUCAAUUAAAGAACUGUUUAUGCUAAGUUGUUUAGACUUUAUCAGCUAUCUGUUUAGUUUUGAGCUUUUCUUUAAUGCACUUUUCAGUUAACAAGUCAACAUCAAUUUCUUUUGCUGUAAAAAAGCUUGAGGAAGGUGGCUUGAGAUUCGUCUUAAGUGUUUAUAGCCUCUUGCCUAUGCAGUCGGAGAGAUUGAGGUCUGCAGCGUAGAUCCUUCGGGGCUAAAUGCAUUUGUGCUAAGUUAUAGCAUUUUAUAGACAACUUGUUGACUAUGAUUUGUCUUGUAGCUUACUCGCUUAUGUUAUUUUACCUACGCUUAGGAUGUUGACGAUCAGCUGAGCGCG